ensembl:vault_RNA Vault Vault RNA
GGACUGGCUUUAGCUCAGCGGGGCAAUGCUUUCUAUGGUGGAAAACAACCAUUCUGCGUGAUUCGAGACCCGCGGGCACUCUCUGGCCCUUAA